GACGAACGCUGGCGGCGUGCUUAACACAUGCAAGUCGAGCGAUGAAGCUCCUUCGGGAGUGGAUUAGCGGCGGACGGGUGAGUAACACGUGGGUAACCUGCCUCAUAGAGGGGAAUAGCCUUCCGAAAGGAAGAUUAAUACCGCAUAAGAUUGUAGUACCGCAUGGUAUAGCAAUUAAAGGAGCAAUCCGCUAUGAGAUGGACCCGCGUCGCAUUAGCUAGUUGGUGAGGUAACGGCUCACCAAGGCGACGAUGCGUAGCCGACCUGAGAGGGUGAUCGGCCACAUUGGGACUGAGACACGGCCCAGACUCCUACGGGAGGCAGCAGUGGGGAAUAUUGCACAAUGGGGGAAACCCUGAUGCAGCAACGCCGCGUGAGUGAUGACGGUCUUCGGAUUGUAAAGCUCUGUCUUCAGGGACGAUAAUGACGGUACCUGAGGAGGAAGCCACGGCUAACUACGUGCCAGCCGCCGCCGUAACAC
rnacentral:rRNA from 1 species